GGAGCGCGGAGGCAUCCCGUCGCAGUCGCUGCUCCCGCUGCUGUACCUGGUCAGGUGACAUUCACCAUCUCCGUUUUCUUCUGCCAUCAUUUUGUCAUCAUCACAGCCAUCACCAUCAGCAUCCUAUCUUCCUCCGUCAGAACUCUCUAGUUCUCCAAAGGCUGACUGUUUCUCCUCUAUGCAGCCUCAUUUCGGGAAAGGACUGUCAGCUGCCUUCUCUGCCUAGCCACCAUCACAUGCCUCCCCACUGGAGCUGACCACAGACCAGCAUCUCCACAGCAUGAAUAAUUAGGUAGGCAUAAUGGAAGGCACUCACUGCACCCUCCAGCUGCAUAACCCCAUCGCUGAACUCUGCUAUAUCAGCUUCUAUCUUCCUAAAGGGGAAGUC
rnacentral:lncRNA from 1 species